rnacentral:rRNA from 1 species
ACAGAGGCCCCAAGCAUUAUCCGGAUUUACUGGGCGUAAAGGGUGCGUAGGCGGUUAUAUUAGUCGGGUGUUAAAUCCUGAGGCUCAACCUCAGAAUCGCAUUCGAAACGGUAUAACUAGAAGGAGUCAGAGGCAAGCAGAACUCACGGUGUAGGGGUGAAAUCCGUUGAUAUCGUGGGGAAUACCAAAUGCGAAGGCAGCUUGCUGGGACUUUCUUGACGCUGAGGCACGAAAGCGUGGGUAGCGAAUCGG